CUAACUCACCACCACCGCCUUCGUGUCCUCCAAACAGUCUCUGACCGCACAUCAAGUAGUACCUUCUUCCUCGGCCACCACCUAUUCCUCGUAUCUCCCUCCAGAUCAUGGUUUCUAUCAUUUCCGCCAUAGCCUUUGAAAUAGAUGGGUGACUGGAGAUUUCCAGUAGAAAACUGAGAUUUUGCUGUGGAUUUCAUGGCCAUGGAUUUUGAUUUAGGGUAGAUUUAUAUUUAUGUUUAGACAUAGAGUUUAUACAGGAGAAGUAUCAAGGAGAGGUGAAACAAAACAUCUUUAAGAUGAG